rnacentral:rRNA from 1 species
GGAGCUAAUACGGAUAAUAUAUUGAACCGCAUGGUUCAAUAGUGAAAGAGGUUUUGCUGUCACUUAUAGAUGGAUCCGCGCCGCAUUAGCUAGUUGGUAAGGUAACGGCUUACCAAGGCAACGAUGCGUAGCCGACCUGAGAGGGUGAUCGGCCACACUGGAACUGAGACACGGUCCAGACUCCUACGGGAGGCAGCAGCU